GAGCAGCCUUCCUACAAGCCUGAUGUCAUCCGUCAGUGCCUUUUGACUUCUCUCUCUGUGUAAAGUAAGACUUUGGACUUUACCACUGGCUGAGACGUCUUGGAUUCUAUAACAUGUUCUAGAAAUGUUCUAGACUCUUCUUGGAUUCUAUAACAUGUUCUAGAAAUGUUCUAGACUCUUCUUGGAUUCUAUAACAUGUUCUAGAAAUGUUCUAGACUCUUCUUGGAUUCUAUAACAUGUUCUAGAAAUGUUCUAGACUCUUCUUGGAUUCUAUAACAUGUUCUAGAAAUGUUCUAGACUCUUCUUGGAUUCUAUAACAUGUUCUAGAAAUGUUCUAGACUCUUCUUGGAUUCUAUAACAUGUUCUAGAAAUGUUCUAGACUCUUCUUGGAUUCUAUAACAUGUUCUAGAAAUGUUCUAGACUCUUCUUGGAUUCUAUAACAUGUUCUAGAAAUGUUCUAGACUCUUCUUGGAUUCUAUAACAUGUUCUAGAAAUGUUCUAGACUCUUCUUGGAUUCUAUAACAUGUUCUAGAAAUGUUCUAGACUCUUCUUGGAUUCUAUAACAUGUUCUAGAAUGUUCUAGACUCUUAUUGGAUUCAGUUAAACAAAUGUUAAGAUAUAGAGACUUUACAUUAAGGAAAAGGAAGCACUUUUUUUUUUUUACAAACUCCUAUUGCCAAUGUUAUAGAAAAAUGUUUAAAUUGUAAAAUUAACCUAUAUGAUAAAUGCCUCAAAACCAUCUGAAAUAUAAUAAAAUAGCAUUGUCUCAUAUGAACAUUUCGUCUUUGGUUUGAUGUGUUUUACACAAAGGGAUUUUCAUUUUCCACAUUUUCUUUGAAUCUGCAUUUAGGAUAAGGCUAUAUAAUUCAUUGGAUACCAGUCUACAUUCCACAGACCACAGCAUUCCCUACAGGAUUCAUUCAGGACAACUCAGUGGACCCUUGGACCCUCUGCCGUUAAUGAUUGAAAUGUUCUACCUUACAGAGUUUCUAUGAGAACAGGCUGUCACAUUGUGAUGGUCGGACAAACC
rnacentral:lncRNA from 8 species